rnacentral:rRNA from 1 species
UACGUAGGGUGCAAGCGUUAAUCGGAAUUACUGGGCGUAAAGCGUGCGCAGGCGGUUAUUCAAGACAGAUGUGAAAUCCCCGGGCUCAACCUGGGAACUGCAUUUGUGACUGCAUGGCUGGAGUGCGGCAGAGGGGGAUGGAAUUCCGCGUGUAGCAGUGAAAUGCGUAGAUAUCUGGAGGAACACCGGUGGCGAAGGCGGCAUCCUGGACCGGCAUUGACGCUGAGGCGCGAAAGCCAGGGGAGCAAACGGG